rnacentral:sRNA from 1 species
AGCUUCGAAUAAGGUUCGAUUCGAGCGAAAGCGAGAAAGCGUUGCCGCAGGCAACGACCCGAAGGGCGAAGCGCGCAGCGCUGAGUAAUCCUUCCCCCACCACCA